rnacentral:rRNA from 1 species
UUUAUUCGACGCAGCGCGAAGACCUUACCUGGCCUUGACAUCCAGAGAACUUUCCAGAGAUGGAUUGGUGCCUUCGGGAACUCUGAGACAGGUGCUGCAUGGCCGUCGUCAGCUCGUGUCGUGAGAUGUUGGGUUAAGUCCCGUAACGAGCGCAACCCCUAUCCCUGGUUGCUAGCAGGUAAUGCUGAGAACUCCAGGGAGACUGCCGGUGACAAACCGGAGGAAGGUGGGGAUGACGUCAGGUCAUCAUGGCCCUUACGGCCAGGGCUACACACGUGCUACAAUGGCGCGUACAGAGGGCUGCCAACUCGCGAGAGUGAGCCAAUCCCUU